UACGGAGGGUGCAAGCGUUAUCCGGAUUCACUGGGGUUUAAAGGGUGUGUAGGCGGGCUGUUAAGUCAGUGGUGAAAUCUCCGGGCUCAACCCGGAAACUGCCCAUUGAUACUAUUAGUCUUGAAUACCGUGGAGGUCAGCGGAAUAUGUCAUGUAGCGGUGAAAUGCUUAGAUAAUGACAUAGAACACCAAUUGCGAAGGCAGCUGGCUACACGAGCAUUGGACACUCAGGCACGGAAAGCGAUGGGGAUC
rnacentral:rRNA from 1 species